rnacentral:lncRNA from 1 species
AACUUCCAAACACCCCAAACCUCUCAUAUUUCCCAAAUCUCUCAAAUUUCAAAUCCCUAAAACCCUAAAACACUCUCCUCUCUCUUAUUUCUCUUAAACCCUCUUCAAAUCCUCACAGAUUCUCAAUUCGAUUUCAAUAUAUUUUUUGUUUAUUUUUACUUUUCUUUCUUUGCAAGUAUCUUAAUUUUGUGGCUUGGAAAAUGUGGAACUUCAUUUAUUCAUACAACAAAUCCAUCGCAAAAAAUCCCAAUUCAAGUUUUUUUCUUCUUUUUAUUUGCAUUUGUUAUUUUUGCUAUUUUAUUUUAGUUUUAGUAUUGAUUUGUUGUGGGUUAGUUGGUUAGUACAUAUUUGAUAGUUAGUUUAGUUUAAAAGAUAAUAAACAUGCCUCCAAGAAUGA